AUGCGUAGGGUGCAAGCGUUAAUCGGAAUUACUGGGCGUAAAGCGUGCGCAGGCGGUCUUGCAAGACAGGUGUGAAAUCCCCGGGCUUAACCUGGGAACUGCACUUGUGACUGCAAGGCUGGAGUACGGCAGAGGGGGAUGGAAUUCCGCGUGUAGCAGUGAAAUGCGUAGAUAUGCGGAGGAACACCGAUGGCGAAGGCAAUCACCUGGGCCUGCACUGACGCUCAUGCACGAAAGCGUGGGGAGCAAACAGGAUUAGAUACCCUGGUAGUCCACGCCCUAAACGAUGUCAACUGGUUGUUGGGUCUUCACUGACUCAGUAACGAAGCUAACGCGUGAAGUUGACCGCCUGGGGAGUACGGCCGCAAGGUUGAAACUCAAAUGAAUUGGCGGGG
rnacentral:rRNA from 1 species